UACUGAUGACGUUACAGUUUAUGCGACAGGUGAAGGUCGGAAGACAAACCCUUCCCAACGUGUUUUAUCCAUCUACAGUAGUAGUACUCUCUGAUCAAUCUCAUUUCCCAUCGAGAGACGGAUAUAAUAAAACCCAGAUACGAUGCGGUUGUUAAGUGGAGCGGUGUUGCGGGCCGCGAUGAGACACCGCUGUCGCUACUUUCUGUGGCACAAAACAACUGGAACGCCAGAAAAGGUCUGGUACUCGGCGUUUACGAGAGCGAGAAGGAGGACGACUCUCUCCAUCUAACUGAAUCAGCAGCUGGUGUCGACAGAGUUCUGUCUGGUAAACUGACUGAGCUGCUAAAGAUAUCAGGACCAGGUCUGAAGAAAGGGAAGAGCAGAAUAUUCUACGGUCUUCAUGAGGACUUCCCAUGCAUAGCAGUAGUUGGUCUAGGGAGGAACUCUCUGGGUGUGUGUGGAACAGAGUACUGGGACACCUGUAAGGAGAACAUCAGGGCUGCUAUAGCAGGAGGCUGCAGGGUUCUCCAGAACCAUGUGUUGACCCAUAUAGAGGUGGAUGGGU